rnacentral:rRNA from 1 species
CUAGUUUAUCCUGCUAGAGGUUGCGGCUAUUCGGAUUCCGCUUAGCCAUGCAAGUUACCUUCGCAAGAAGGAGCGAACCGCUCAGUAACACGUAGUCAAUCUGCCCUAAGAUUAAAGAUAACCUCGGGAAACUGAGGCUAAUAUUUGAUAGACGAAAGAGGCUGGAAUGCGCUUUCGUUGAAACGCAAGGUCUUAGGAUGAGACUGCGGCCGAUUAGGUCGUUGUUGAGGUAAUGGCUCAACAAGCCGAUGAUCGGUAAGGGCUCUUAACGGAGAGGCCCUGAGAAGGAUUCUGAGACACUAAUCCUAGCUCUAUGGAGUGCAGCAGGCGGGAAAAUUUUCCAAUGUUCGAAAGAAUGAGAAAGGAAUCCGAAGUGUUCCUCUUAGAGGAACUUUUCUGAACUGUAAACAGGUUCAGGAAUAAGGACUGGGCAAGACUGGUGCCAGCCGCCGCGGUAAUCCCAGCAGUCCAAGUCGCAGCCGCAUUUAUUAGGUCUAAAACAUUCGUAGCUCGUCUCGCAAAUUCUUUGUGAAAUCGUUGCGCUUAACGUAACGGCGUGCAGGGGAGACUGUGAGGCUAGAGACCGGGAGACUUAACGAGUACAGGUGAGGUAGCGGUUAAAUGUUUUAAUCUCAUCUGGACUAACAAUGGCGAAGGCACGUUACGAGAACGGAUCUGACAGUGAGGAAUGAAGGCCAGGGGCGCAAAAUGGAUUAGAUACCCAUGUAGUCCUGGCUGUAAACACUACUUACUAAACAUUGUGUUCUCCUAGAGAGAAUGCAGUGCUGAAGGGAAGCUGUAGAGUAAGUUACCUGGGGAGUACAGUCGCAAGACCGAAACUUAAAGGAAUUGGCGGGGGGACACACAAGGGGUGACGCGUGCGGUUCAAUUAGAUUCUACCCCGUGAACCUUACCAGGAGCGACAGCAGGAUGAAGGUCUGUCUGAAUGGCAAACCUGACACGCUGAGAGGAGAUGCAUGGCCGACGUCAGCUUGUGCCGUGAGGUGCCCUGUUAAAUCAGGUAACAAGCGAGACCUGCAUGUAUAAUUGCUACUUGGAGAAAGAGCACAUUGUACAGACUGCCUCAGUAAUGAGGAGGAAGGUGCAGUCAACGUUAGGUGAGUACGUCCCGAAUCCCCUGCCUACACGCGCGCAGCAAUGCUACGUGCAAUGAGAUGCGACUCUGAAAAGAGAAGCUAAUCCCUUAAUACGUAGCCUAGUUCGAAUUGAAGAUUGCAAUUCAUCUUCAUGACGCUGGAAUCCCUAGUAAUCGGGUGUUAUCAACGUCCGGUGAAUAAGUCCCUGUUCCUUGCACACACUGCCCAUCAUUCCAACCGAGUUAUGUUUGGGUGAAAUCCGAAAGGAGUGAAUCCAGAUAUGGCGAGGUAGGACAAGUUGUCACAAGGUA